GAUGAACGCUGGCGGCGUGCCUAAUACAUGCAAGUCGAGCGAACAGAUGGGAAGCUUGCUUCUCUGAUGUUAGCGGCGGACGGGUGAGUAACACGUGGGUAACCUACCUAUAAGACUGGGAUAACUCCGGGAAACCGGGGCUAAUACCGGAUAAUAUUUUGAACCGCAUGGUUCAAUAGUGAAAGACGGUUUCGGCUGUCACUUAUGGAUGGACCCGCGCCGUAUUAGCUAGUUGGUAAGGUAACGGCUUACCAAGGCGACGAUACGUAGCCGACCUGAGAGGGUGAUCGGCCACACUGGAACUGAGACACGGUCCAGACUCCUACGGGAGGCAGAAGUAGGGAAUCUUCCGCAAUGGGCGAAAGCCUGACGGAGCAACGCCGCGUGAGUGAUGAAGGUCUUCGGAUCGUAAAACUCUGUUGUUAGGGAAGAACACGUACGAGAGGAAAUGCUCGUACCUUGACGGUACCUUACGAGAAAGCCACGGCUAACUACGUGCCAGCCGCCGCCGUAA
rnacentral:rRNA from 1 species